rnacentral:snRNA from 1 species
UAACUAACCUGGCGCCGGGACCAGGGUGAUCAUGGAAGCCCCGGCCCCAGGUGGAGGCUCGCCUUUGCACUCUGGCGGGUCGAAGCCUGUUACGCUCCCUAAUCGGGAUCGCCCGGGCGCGUAGUUUUUGCCAGUGGUGAGGUCUUCGGACUAUCCCUU